GGAUGUGAGGGCCAUCUGGCUGCUCCAUCUAUUGCCCCAUUGACCACCAGGGUUGAUUUGGCUGAUCUGGCCGUCUAGGCGGGUGUCCCCUUCCUCCCUCACCGCUCCGUGUGUGUCCCUCCCAAAGCUGCACACUCGGUCGAAGAGGACCACCAUCCCUGAUAGAGGAGGACCCUUCUUCUUGGGCAGGGGUAUAUGAGUAGCUGCGAUCCCCUGCUGGAACCUUCAAACAAGCUCUCAAGAAACUACCCGAUGACGCACAAUUAGGAGAAACUCAGACUCCUCUGGUGUGCUCUAUUCAUGACCCCAGCCUGCAUCCCUGG
ensembl:misc_RNA 7SK 7SK RNA